AUACGGAGGAUCCGAGCGUUAUCCGGAUUUAUUGGGUUUAAAGGGUGCGUAGGUGGUUUGAUAAGUCAGCGGUGAAAGUUUGCAGCUUAACUGUAAAAAUGCCGUUGAAACUGUCGGACUUGAGUGUAAAUGAGGUAGGCGGAAUGCGCGGUGUAGCGGUGAAAUGCAUAGAUAUCACGCAGAACUCCGAUUGCGAAGGCAACUUACUAAGCUACAACUGACACUGAAACACGAAAGCGUGGGGAUCAAACAGGAUUAGAUACCCUGGUAGUCCACGCAGUAAACGAUGAUUACUAGCUGUUUGCGAUACACAGUAAGCGGCACAGCGAAAGCGUUAAGUAAUCCACCUGGGGAGUACGCCGGCAACGGUGAAACUCAAAUGAAUUGACGGGG
rnacentral:rRNA from 1 species